rnacentral:rRNA from 1 species
GCGUACACAAUCUACCUAUAACUGGGGGAUAGCCUCGGGAAACUGAGAAUAAUACCCCAUAGUAUUGACAAUUAGAUUAAUAGUCAAUUAAAGUUCCGGCGGUUAUAGAUGAGUGUGCGUCCGAUUAGCUAGUUGGUAAGGUAACGGCUUACCAAGGCGACGAUUGGUAGGGGGCGUGAGAGCGUGAUCCCCCACACGGGUACUGAGACACGGACCCGACUCCUACGGGAGGCAGCAGUAAGGAAUAUUGGACAAUGGAGGCAACUCUGAUCCAGCCAUCCCGCGUGUAGGAAGACUGCC